rnacentral:rRNA from 1 species
CGAAAGCCUGACGGAGCAACGCCGCGUGAGGGACAAAGGCCUUUGGGCUGUAAACCUCUUUUCUCAAGGAAGAAGAUCUGACGGUACUUGAGGAAUAAGCCACGGCUAAUUCCGUGCCAGCAGCCGCGGUAAUACGGGAGUGGCAAGCGUUAUCCGGAAUUAUUGGGCGUAAAGCGUCCGCAGGCGGCCGUCUAAGUCUGUUGUUAAAUCGUGGAGCUCAACUCCAUCACGGCAAUGGAAACUGUUCGGCUUGAGUAUGGUAGGGGCAGAGGGAAUUUCCGGUGUAGCGGUGAAAUGCGUAGAUAUCGGGAAGAACACCAGUGGCAAAAGCGCUCUGCUGGGCCAUUACUGACGCUCAUGGACGAAAGCCAGGGGAGCGAAAGGGAUUAGAUACCCCUGUAGUCCUGGCCGUAAACGAUGAACACUAGAUGUUGGGGGAAUCGACCCCCUCGGUGUCGUAGCUAACGCGUUAAGUGUUCCGCCUGGGGAGUACGCACGCAAGUGUGAAACUCAAAGGAAUUGACGGGGGACCGCACAAGCGGUGGAGUAUGUGGUUUAAUUCGAUGCAACGCGAAGAACCUUACCAAGGCUUGACAUCCUGCGAAUCUCUAAGAAACUAGAGAGUGCCUUCGGGAACGCAGUGACAGGUGGUGCAUGGCUGUCGUCAGCUCGUGUCGUGAGAUGUUGGGUUAAGUCCCGCAACGAGCGCAACCCACGUUUUUAGUUGCCAGCAUUAAGUUGGGCACUCUAGAAAGACUGCCGGUGACAAACCGGAGGAAGGUGUGGACGACGUCAAGUCAUCAUGCCCCUUACGCCUUGGGCUACACACGUACUACAAUGCUGCAGACAAAGAGUAGCGAUCUUGCAAAAGUUAGCUAAUCUCAUAAACUGCGGCUCAGUUCAGAUCGUAGGCUGCAACUCGCCUACGUGAAGGAGGAAUCGCUAGUAAUCGCAGGUCAGCAUACUGCGGUGAAUACGUUCCCGGUCCUUGUACACACCGCCCGUCACACCAUGGAAGUUGGCCAUGCCCGAAGUCGUUACUCUAACCUUUUGGAAGAGGGCGCCGAAGGCAGGGCUAAUGACUGGGGUGAAGUCGUAACAAGGUAGCCGUAGCGGAAGCUGCGGCUGGAUCACCUCCUAA